rnacentral:rRNA from 1 species
AAGCCAGACUCCUACGGGAGGCAGCAGUGGGGAAUAUUGCACAAUGGGGGAAACCCUGAUGCAGCAACGCCGCGUGAGUGAAGAAGUAUUUCGGUAUGUAAAGCUCUAUCAGCAGGGAAGAAAAUGACGGUACCUGAGUAAGAAGCCCCGGCUAACUACGUGCCAGCAGCCGCGGUAAUACGUAGGGGGCAAGCGUUAUCCGGAUUUACUGGGUGUAAAGGGAGCGUAGACGGCGAUACAAGUCUGAAGUGAAAGCCCGGGGCUCAACCCCGGGACUGCUUUGGAAACUGUGUUGCUGGAGUGCUGGAGAGGCAAGCGGAAUUUCUAGUGUAGCGGUGAAAUGCGUAGAUAUUAGGAGGAACACCAGUGGCGAAGGCGGCUUACUGGACUGUAACUGACGUUGAGGCUCGAAAGCGUGGGGAGCAAACAGGAUUAGAUACCCGAGUA